UUAUUUGGUCAUCCACCCAAAGGUAACUUUCUAUUUCAUCCGUGGUCAUCAAACUGGCUUAUCGCUACAAAACUUUUUAUAUUUAUAAAUUGAGUCCGGGAAAGUAUGGCAAUUCGAUUCACAGGAGGGUUCCUCUUAAAAAACCAAGGACAGUGAAGCUAAAAAUACUGAUGAAGAACACUUAACUAGUGAUGACGUAAUGUAGUACGUACAAUUCGGAAUUGCUCUCACACCAAAAGAAAAGUUGGUUACCAUCGACAGCUAGAAAGGCGGAUCUGGGAAGAACAAAGCUUCGUUCGCAUGGUUAACUCUUGCAAAUUUGACACAGAAAACGUACCUUCGAAACCUUGGGAAAUCUAAAAUAAUUAUAGUGAAAAGGAUGACUUGCACCUUUUUGACUUUGGAUUACUCUUCCGCCCACAAGUACAGUUUAAAAGCUCGUCAGCAAGUUAAUUGAAAAAGAGGUGAUGCAUAAAAUUUGAGAGAUGAGCCCUUAUGUCCAUCGAAAGAAUGCUCCUUUCAUAACAUCCAUGCGGUCAAGGUGAAUACGUAAAUGUAAGGUUCGUUUAUCCUUGAAAGUUAAUGUUACACGAGACAUCAUAGUCACCGUAGUGUAAAACUAGUCCAGGAGUUCCUUAUUUGGCCAUGGAGAAGUUCCAAGGAUAAAAUGACGUGAAGAAGAUUUGUAAAGAGAAAGGUGGAAAUCCACCUUACCCGCUUUUCCCGCUUAGGGCAAUAGAAUCGAAUCAUUAGGGUCAUUAUUUGUCUAGCAAGUACUACUCAUACAAGAAACAUCGGAGGCGAUAUAAGUAGCCGAAAUUGGCAGUGCAGAAUUCAUUCGUCCUACUCUCACCUUCGAGAUCGGCGGUGCUCACGCUAGUUCCCUGCACUUCAUAUUCCUGCCAUCAUGGGUGACUGUUCAACAACGAAAAUUCGCAAAACUAUCCCGCCGUUCAAAAACUGGCCUAAAGUGGCUCCGCAGAUUAUUUGCGCGGCUUCAGCAUCAUGGGCCAUGCUCUGCACAGGUCUCGUUCGUGGAUGGAGUUCGUCUGCCGUUCCGCAGUUGACUUCUGCGAACAACGAAACCUUGCAUCUCGAACGAGAGGAAGCCGCAUGGAUAACGUCUUUGCCUCCCCUUUGUGCCAUUUUUGGCAGUUUGCUGAUCGCCUAUCCAAUGGAAAUGUACGGCCGCCGCAUGACAUUGGCAACCAUUUCAAUACCCUACGUUCUAGGAUUUUAUCUGAUGGGAUUGUCGUAUUACGUGGAUUGGGCGCCCCUUCUUUUUAUUGGUCGCACCAUCACUGGCUUGAUUACGGGUGCAUCGGCACCCACUUCACAGAUUUAUGUGAGUGAAUGCGCUUCCCCAAGGGUGCGAGGAGCUCUAGGAUCAUUUACAUCCACCUUCAUGUCGUUUGGUAUCUUGAUUGCUUACAUUAUUGGAGCCGUCGUCGAGUGGCAAGUAAUGUGCUUCGUCAUUGGAUCCCUGCCUAUCGUCUUGGGUUUAGCAAUGCUUUUGAUGCCGGAGACUCCUUCUUGGCUCGUUUCUCACGAUCAGGAAUCACAGGCCAAGGUUGCACUUCAGCAACUUCGCGGCAAAUACACGGACGUUGAAACGGAAUUUGAGCGCAUCAGAACAAAUGCCAACGCGCAACUACCAAAUUCAAGCUAUGCCAAAAUACUAACCAACAGCUAUUUAAUGAAACCCUUGCUCAUCUCCAUGACAUUGAUGUUCUUCCAGCAGUUUAGCGGCAUCAAUGCUAUCGUCUUUUAUUCCGCCAGCGUGUUCGAAGACGCCGGUAGUAGCUUAGAUCGUUUUGUAUCCAGCAUCAUUAUUGGUCUUGUGCAAAUGGUGUUCACUAUGGUUUCGGUUCUCUUGGUUGAUCGAUUUGGACGUCGAGUACUACUAAUGAUUUCCGGAACUUUUAUGGCGAUAUCGCUCUCCGGAUUAGGUGCCUUUGUUUAUGUGAAAAAUUCUUGGAAAGAGUUGUCUGUUGUUGUGGAUGACGGUACAGUGGCAGAGCCGACUGUAAUUGCUGAACUGGGCUGGCUUCCCUUACUCUGUCUCAUGACUUUCAUCAUCUCUUAUUCCAUCGGUUUCGGCGCUGUACCUCAAUUAGUGAUGGGCGAGCUUUUCCCUUUGGAGUAUCGUCAUCGACUUGGUACCAUUUCCGCCUCAUUCAGCCUAGGCUGUACAUUUUUGGUGGUACGAACUUUUCCUCUGAUGACCAGCACUAUGGGACUUGCAAGUGUUUAUGGCCUUUAUGCAGCCUGCUGCUUGACGGCCGUCGUUUUUGUCGGACUUUUUCUCCCUGAAACUAAAGGGAAAACUUUGGAAGAGAUCAGUAAAUUCUUCGGUCAGCCAGUACCAAAAAAUGUUGCAACUUGCAUUCAACCUGAAAAUGAACCUCUAGCCCUUGCAAAUGCGACAGUAGAAGGAAUUUGAUAGAAUUUUCUUUCUUUUAUUUUUUUAGAGCUAAAUUUGUUUUGAUAAAUUCUGAGCUGUUCUGUGAUCAUUAUAACUUUAUCGAUGUCAAUGCUGAAACAUAAGUGUCAAUAUUUACCAGAUACGUUAAAUAGCCUUACCUGCGGAUAUUAUUGGAGCGACCGAAAAGUAAAAAAAAUGUUUUGUAAAUAAAGGAAGGGCUCGCUUUGUUAUUUUUAGUUUCCUUUCACAUAGAUUUCUUGUUGUAUUUUUAAUGAAAAGGAACAUAAAUCCAGUAUCGACACAAUUAAGUCAACACAAUUAAGUAAUAACAAAAUAAAAUAAGUAAGUAAACUUUUGGAAAAGUUCAGAAAUUUCGCUAACACGGAAGUCCCUCGAUAUUUGCCACACAUGGUUUUUCAUGUUAUAGGUGCAUUUCACUUCACUUCGUAAUUACAUUUUGCCGGAAUUGAUUAAACAUGUAAUAAAUAACUGCGCGGAUUAUGCGGAAUACUUUGUCUCGAGUAUCGACUGCAACAGCAGUUCACAGUUUGUAAAUUUGAACACGUGUUUAAACCUCACUUUCUCAUUUUGUUUCUGAAUUUUUACUCUCAAUUUAUUACGAGUAUUAAAGUGGAACCACUGACUGUGAAGCAAGGUGAAACUAAUUACUGUGUCUAUUACAAUCCUGUUGAAUAGCAUCACAGACUAGGCUAAAAGUUAUAAGAUAAUUAAAAGGUGUUCCAGACUAGUAAUUAACGUGCUACUUUUGACUCAUGUAGACUCUAGACUGCAUAUUAUUGUUGCCUAUUAAUGUUUAUUUCCUCCUUUCUGUGAAAUCUAAAUUUGUUUGCCUGCCUAUAUUAUUUGUGAGCUUCUUGCAUCGUUUUUGGCCAAUGGCUGCCUUGCUGUUGGAAUCCACGAGCCAUGCCAUAUAGGAUGGAAAACAAAUUGAUAAGAUUGCAAUUGGGCAUCAGAAACAGAAGCUGUUACACUUUUCCUUGUCUGCCAAUUGAAAUGGCAAGACUAAGGUUUUUUAAAUCAGAUUAAAAGUUGUUUUUUCUUCAGCGUAUUCAUCCACUCAAUUUGUUAUCAUGUAAGGGUAUCAAACUGAUGAAUGUUCGAAAUGUGAGAUAGAUGAUUCGCUGAUUCCACAAGGAGAAUGUUGUCAUCUGGCAAGUAUUGCACAUUCCCCAAGCAACCAUCAUGGUCCGGAUGCUACUCACGCUUGUUCUGUUAUGUAAAAGCGGUAAAAGUAUCCCCUUUCAACCUUGAGGGCUUUUUCUUUUACAUCUCUACCGAUUUGUCCAGCAUGAUGCGCUCUACCGAGACUAUUGGUCAUUGCGAUGCAUAUGGAGUGAUGCAAAGACAAGAACUUGAAAGACCAACAAUCCGGAAAAGCAAGUAAAAAGUAAAGUAACUUAUGGGGGAGAGUCAUUAGGGUCAUGUUACCUAUGCAAGAGUCGUUGGAGGCGAUAAAAGUGACCAGUCUCUGACGUUCAAAAAAUCAUUCACUCUUGGGACUUGGAGAAGAGCGGUGAAACUUGUGCGCGCCUUAUUCCCUAUCAACUACCGCCAGCAAAGUAGUUGGAUUUAGAC